rnacentral:lncRNA from 1 species
CUCAAAAUACCAACAUGUGAGAAAUACUGUACUUUAUUAAUGUUUCAAUGGAACCAACCAAAAUCAUACAAUUAUUUAAUACAAAAUACAUUUCACCAAAAUCAAGGUUUCAUAAUUAUUGGCACUCCUCAUUUAGUACUUAGUGCCACCACCUCUGGCAGGGAUAACAGCAUGGAGUCCUGUAAUGGUUGACAAGGUUAAGGAACACAUUUGGAGGGAUUUUGGACCAUUCCUCUAUGCAGAUCCUUUCAAGAUCCUUUACAUUCUUGGGUUUACGCUUAUCAACUGCCCUCUUCCACUCAGCCCACAGGUUUUCGAUUGGAUUGAGGUCCGGCGACUGAGAUGGCCAUGGCAGAACAUUGCUUUUGUUGUCACAGAACCAUUUCUGUGUGGAUCUUGAGUGCCCCCGGACCUCUGGAAAUAAAACAGCCCCAAAACAUCACUGACCCACCACCAUAUUUCACCGUGAGUAUGAGGUGCCUCUCCUUGUAUGCAUCUCUGUUUUGACGUCAAACAUGCCGAUGCUGUAUCUGACCAAAACGUUCAAUUUUGGUCUCAUCUGACCAGAGCACCUUCUUCCAGUCAUAAUUUAAAUGACAUUUGGAAAACUCCAUGCGCUUGCGUCUGUGUCUUGGGGUCAGAAAGGGCUUUCUGCUGGAAACCCUUCCAAAGAGCCUGUGGUUGUGGAGGUGGCGUCUGAUGGUGCUUUUUGGAACCUGGUGACCCCAAGAUGCCACCAAGGCCUGCAAUUCUUUCACAGUGAUUCUUGGGGAUUUUGUUGCUUCUCUCACCAUCCUCCUCCCUAUCCUGGGGGGCACAAUGCAUUUGUGUCCUCUACCCGUGAGGGUUUCAACUGUUCCAUAACUUUAGAAUGUUUUAAUAAUCGCCCUGACAGUGCUCAGUGGUAUAUUCAAUCCUUUGUGGAUCUUCUUGUAGCCAUGACCAGAUUUAUGAAGGUCUACGACCAUCUGUCUCUUUUCAACUGCCAGUUCGUUUCUUUUCUUCAUGGUGUUGGAUGACAAAAGGAUAGUGGAAUUUAAUUCCUGGUUUAAUUUUAGUAGAUGUUAUUUACAAUAACAUUUAAGGGUGCC